rnacentral:lncRNA from 1 species
AACAUAAAUACCACUGUUCAACUGUCAUGCAUUAUAGUAACACCAUUCAAAAUGAUAUCACAAAAGCUUUUCUUUAUUGAAAUUUCAUAAUUUGCUUUGGCUAAAAGACCUACAAAAAUGAUAUUCAAUAAAAAACUAGGAGAGUAAUGACAAUCAUUAAAAAUAAUAAAAUAAAAAUUGAAUACAAGCUUGAUAAUUUUUAAAGCUAGAACUGGAACUGACUUCUAUC